GGCUUAUUAGCAAAGUUGGUUAGAGCAUCGUACUAACAAUACGGAGGUCGCAGGUUCGAAACCUUCAUGGGCCA